AGGUUAGCUGUAAUAUCGAACUCGACAGUAGCUUCCUCUGUCAUGUCGGAGAUCUCAGGAGACGACUUGGUAUUUUGUGUCAAGAAGAGGUUAACCUCCCACUUAACAAGAUAAACAUCAAAUUCAUAGGAGUGCCAAAAAGGUACCGUUUAAUCGAGAGGACUUCACUGAUGACAGAGAUGUGGAAAAGACUACGUCCUUCUCUGGAAAACUACAAGGAUAAAAUACCCACCUUCUUCGGGAAAAAGUCCAUCAUAUGCGAAAGGAAACUUACUCACGUGCGAAAGACGAACUCUAAGAAUUGGAGAAUAACGGCAGUAGACAGCAGCUAACUUCCCCUGUACUCAACGACAUUGAACAAUAGACAUGAAAUGACUCGCUGACCCCCUACAAAGUACUUGUGCUCGGAGGCAGAAUUUGGCAUCGUUUGGGUCGAGAGAUUUCCAAGGGUAAUGAUACAGUUAAACUGUAUAAAAAUACCUCUCUAAAACAACCUUCUCCUGGUCGGCCAUGUCCCUCAUCCUGCACUUGACCCCUGCAGAGGUCACAAGAACAUCGGAGCACAAAUGAGCGAGAAACGGGGAAGCCUUAGCUUCCGGGUCAAGGACUGCAUCACUAGCACCUACCUAUUGAACCUAUUGAUAGGUUUAAAAGUAGGCAUCUUCACUGGCGACACUGUGUAGACUCAACCCUGAGCUUGAUCAGAAUCUUCAGUCACAAACCUGACACCGUUUCGGGGCUUGCAAUACGGUUUUCUGUCAGGCUCCCAGCAGUUUCUUUUGGACCACCAUCUCAUCUGACAAUCACCCGAGGAUACCUGCCAGAGCUCGCAAUUUACGACGAGUUAGCUUAUGGCACCUCUGGCUGUUAAGUGAAGUCAUAAAGCUCAAACAGCUCUCAUCUCCCAUUCUCUCUUCCUAGACAGCAAACCUGGGAGAAACUCCUUCUAGCCGGACGUCACGCGUGAUGUACGAGAAACUACGGACAGGGUACUCCUACUUGCGUGCGAAAGACAAAGGCAGCAAGAAUCGAAGAACAGAACCCCGACCACACUGCUUGUGAGAAAUGAGCAGCUCUUGAUCUAGGACAAAAAACUUUCUUCUGUUUAAUAUCUAAAACGUGUUACGUGUGAUAUUACACCAACUUUUGAUUAAUAAUACGAAACUUUAUACCUUAUAAAGUAUGAUAUUUAAACACGAAAAUUUACAUUCUGAAAUUGGUAUAGUGUUCCUUUAACUGUUCCUUCAACUUUCAUCGUAGCUUUUUUCAAAAUAUUCUUCAGUGCCAUCAACAAACAGAUUUUUUCAUUUGACUGAACUGUGCCAUAUUUGAUAUUGCCUCUGUAUUUUAUAGGGAAAAUUUUUUAAAUCUUGCAAGUUGAUGUAAUUAAGUUUUAAGUUAACGUAUUAUAGAUAUGUUAACACUAGUUUAUGUUUCAGUA